GACGAACGCUGGCGGCGUGCUUAACACAUGCAAGUCGAACGGAAAGGCCCUGCUUUUGCGGGGUGCUCGUGUGGGGAACGGGUGAGUAACACACGAGUAAACUGCCCCUGACUUUGGGAUAACUUCAGGAAACUGGGGCGAAUACCGGGUAGGAGCUCCUGCAGCGUGGGGGGCGUUGGAAAGAUUCGGCCGUGGGGGCUGGACUCGCGGCUUAUCAGCUUGUUGGUGGGGUAGUGGCUUACAAGGGCUUUGACGGGUAGCCGGCCUUGGAGGUUGACCGGCGUCCUUGCGACUGCGAUACGCACCAGACUCCUACGGUCCGCAGCAGUGGAGAAUAUUGCAGAGCGGGCGGACGCCUGAUGCAGCGACGCCGCGUUCGUGAUGACGUCCUUCUAGUUGUAAACCGCUGUCUCCUGAGACGAAGCGUUAGUGACGGUAAUGGGUAAAGAAGCACCGGCUAACUACGUG
rnacentral:rRNA from 1 species